GACGAACGCUGGCGGCGUGCUUAACACAUGCAAGUCGAACGAUGAACCACUUCGGUGGGGAUUAGUGGCGAACGGGUGAGUAACACGUGGGCAAUCUGCCCUUCACUCUGGGACAAGCCCUGGAAACGGGGUCUAAUACCGGAUAACACUGCCACGGGCAUCUGUGGUGGUUAAAAGCUCCGGCGGUGAAGGAUGAGCCCGCGGCCUAUCAGCUUGUUGGUGAGGUAAUGGCUCACCAAGGCGACGACGGGUAGCCGGCCUGAGAGGGCGACCGGCCACACUGGGACUGAGACACGGCCCAGACUCCUACGGGAGGCAGCAGUGGGGAAUAUUGCGCAAUGGGCGGAAGCCUGACGCAGCGACGCCGCGUGAGGGAUGAAGGCC
rnacentral:rRNA from 1 species